GCCUUGGCUCUGUAGCAGAGCAUCUGAUUUGGAUGCAGAAGGUUCCAGGUUCAAUCCUUGGAUUCUCCA